UAACAAUCUUCAGGCAUAAAUUAUUGUCUGCAUCUUAAAUCAUUUCCUUAAGAUACGUUUUUUGAAGUGCAAUUAUUGAAUCUAAAGAUAGUAAUAUUUCUAUGUGUCUCAGCAAUAUUGUAGAACAGCUUUCCAAAACAAUUGCACCAACGUAUUCUUCCACCAGCAAUGAGAGGAAUAGUUGUAUCUCUGCACCCAGAUCAAAACUGAAUAUUACCCUCACUUCUCAUCACUAUCAAUUUUCAGUUGACCAAUAUUUCUUUUGGUAUUAUUGAAAACAAACCUUGUUGUUCAUUAUUACACAUUUCCAUUUCCUAUGUGUCUCUGACACAGAGGCUUCCUGCCAAGUUAUAGAGACUCUUGUGGUUUAAGGUUACAAGUCAAAGAUCUUACAUUUCUGGAAAUUUUCUCCAGAUUGUUUGGCAUUUUGUUUUGUUUAUAAAACUUUUGGACAAAACUGGUUUUUAAUGUCAUCAAAUAAGCAAAAGAAGCAAUGAAAAACAUCACACCAAUUCUAGUGCUAGGUGCGGCCCUUGGAUCUUCUGCUCAUAAGCUACUGAGGAGAGGCAGUCCUUUGUGACGGGGAGGGAGUCCAUGGUGAUGGGGGGAGGCAGGCACUGUGAUGGGGGAAGCAGUCCACUGUGAUGGGGGAGGCAGUCCAUCUUGAUGGAAGAGACAGUCCACUAUGAAAGGGGAGGCAGUCCAUGGUGAGUGGGGAGGCAGUCCACUGUGAUGGGGGAGGCAGUCCAUCUUGAUGGAAGAGACAGUCCACUAUGAAAGGGGAGGCAGUCCAUGGGGAAGUUAUUUUCUAAAACCUUACAACAUUCAGGAAGAAGUAAGUACAUCUGAAAAAAAUACCAGAGAAACUCAUCAAGAGACUUCCUGGGUCAAGUGGAGAGAACACUGCCGGCCCCAGGAGCACUGGGAGCUGAAUCAGGUUUUUGGAAGGUCCUGCGCAGAUGACAGAACCUGGAGGGAACAGCAGUGCAACAUUUCAGGAAGGCUAGAUCCAGGCUCUGGACAGCAGUGUCUCUCGUUGACUAGCUCAUACCUCAAGGGAGGGGAUCACGUGGCUGGGAACACCGGCACCUUCUCAGUGAGCAUCAAUGUGAUCAGACGGCCAAUGACAUGUUGACACGGCAUGACACUCAGCAUCUCAAACCCUUUCAGUGAGAGUCCUAAGAAUGAGCAAGUAGCUAUUCCUGCCUGCUUCCAGGGGUCGGAUGGGAGGAGGGAGGAAGGAGUCAGCAUCAAUUAAGUUGACAUUGAAAAAUAGGUCCUACAUAUCUUGGGCACUUAACUUUGUAGACUAGAGUUUAUCCCUCCUACAGCCAGACCAUGAGGAGCCACUGAAAACCGUAUUAAGGAAUCAGGACUCUAUCACCGUCCAGGGCAAUCAACCAGUGCUUGUCUCUCAGAAGCUCACACUGGGGCUGGGUGGUGUGAUGCAAGUGAGGCUGGCUUUGCAGAGUUUGAGUCAAAAUCAUCUGAGACAAUAUCCAGGGGAAAACACUGAAGUCAAUAUCAGUCAGAUCAUGCAACUAAUAAUCAAUUCAAAGGGGCUAAGUCAAAUUCAGCUUCCAGCAUGAUUCGGCAAACCAGGGAUUCCAGACCAGAGGAAAAAGAUAUGAAGAGGAGGAGGAUGCAGAGCUUGAAGACUCUAGGAGAAGCAGGGCAGAUAAAGAUGUCUGUACACACACCUGUACCUGCAUGGACACCUGCACAAGGCAGACAUUGAUAGUGUUCUGCUUCCUGCACCAAAGGCAUCCUCUAGGGCAGAGAAAGGUGGUGACUUUCCAGUUUCCCACUGGGUCAUGUUCCAGCAUAGGAGGCAGGUUUCCCUCAUCACUCAGAGCUUUGACCUUUGUGAAGGUCGGUGGCGCUGCAGUGGGCCUGGCUCUUCCUUCCUUACUUAUUCUAACCCUGAAAAAGGGAAGUGAAGCACCCAGUGGAGGAAAAUGGACUGGAAAUGACAAAAAUGAGCUGGAAAACAGUGGAGAACGUGCACAGAAGCAGGUAAAUGGACAAAGCAAGUCAUUUUAAAGAGCUCAGGACAUGUUCCUUCCAUCAUGGAGGGAUAUGUGCUCCAAAGUGAGGCAAAUCCUUUGGCCACUUGGAUGUCCUCCUCUGAAACCUGAUCCAGAUGAGUGUCCAUCACCACCGGCUGGAGGCCACGCUUGAAAUUCUUCUGGGGCCCUACAAGCAGAAUCAGUGGGCCCCUUGGAGCAACCAUGAUGUCUGAAAGCAGGUGUUGGUAGCGGAACACUGUCCCACUUUGCUGCCUGAGCAGCGCUUCUCACACUUUACCAGCAUCAGCAUCCCCUGGAGAGACUGUUAAAACCUGGACCCCAGAGUUUCUGACUAAAUAUCUCUGGAGUGAGGCCCAAGAACGUGCAAUUCUAACAAGUUCCCUGGUGAGGCUGAUUCUGCUGAUUCAGGGACCUCCCUUGGAGAACCACUGGGUGGGGGAAGCUGAGCAGCGUGCCUCACAAAGAGGACCAAGAGGUGUAGGUGUGACAGAAGCACGCAGCGAGGCAGCACGUGUUCUCUAGCUCCUCGCCACCCCCAAAUCGGCAUCACCGGAGCUUGCGCGGAUGCAGACUCUCCGCCCAUCUCAGAUCUGCCAAACUGAAUCCAUAAGCUUGCAAGAUCCCAGGGGGCCCGCGGGAACACUGGAGCGAGCUGUGUGCUGCUGUGUGAUGGCGAGAAUGACAGUAUUGUAAAGAGGAUUCUUUGCUGGGUCUUGCCCUUUGUAAACAUUUCCCUGAAGGAUGGGGGCGACCGGCUGAGGAUAAGAAUUGGGUAUCACCGAGUUCCUUGGCCAAUACCAUCACCUACUCUCCCAGCACUUUGGUGAGGUGCCCGACUGCUGAGGAGUAACAGCUCCUCCCUGAGCCUCCCCCCUCCCUCCGGCUGUGUUUGCACCUAGUGGAGGAGCAGCACCCUUGUUAACCAUGAGUCUGACUGCGUCCUGUGCCCCUUUCCUCAUCUCUGGGUCCUCCUCAUCCACAGUAACUCCACCACCAGCUUCAGGCAGAGGGCAGGUGAGAGGAGCCAGGCAGUGCCACAUCAACAUACUCAGUGGAGCCCGGUGCACACUCACCGUCCCCUGACACCUGCUCACCUCCACCGUGUCUUCACUACCUGGACCCCCGCGGGGGCUGGCGUUGGUUCUGCAUGAGGCCUUCGGGGACGGACCGCAGCACCUUCACCACCAGCUCGCUGAGCACUCACAGCCCCCCAUACGACUCUCCUAGGGCUGUUGCUCCCUUCCUGGGUCCAUCUGGUUUUGGAUGCCAGAGCUCACUGACCUGUUUGCUCCAUGGCACUUGUCUAGGAACAAGGCUUGCCUGGAACCUGCUGACCAUCAACAGAGUUCCCACCACUGAGGAUGCCCCUGGGUGUCCACUCCAGGGGGUUCGGCCAGUCUCUGGCAAAACAACCGGGGGGCUGCUCCCUCGGCUGCCUGUCAGCCUCCUGUUCUGUAGAAAUAGGACACAGAGAGCUAAAAUGAUGAUGGCUUACAAACACACGAUCUAAAACACUACAUAUAUUUUUAAUAUAAUAUAGGAAUUCAGGCAUUGAAAAAAAUAUUCUGUAGAAAAAAAUUUUGGAAGAAUCGCUUUUCCAGGGAUGGUUUUAUAGAGAUCUGCCAAGAACAGUCGCUUACGUUUCUGAAGCAGCCUCCACCCAUCACGUGACUCUUCAGGGUGCACUCUGCAUUUCCUGCAGUCUGACUUGCAAUGGACCCUUUGGUUCCAUCACCUCAAUCAUGAACUCAUGCAAAGUCAACAUUUGGCUUUUCCUUUUUCUAGAAAGAAAGGUUACUAUGAAUAAUAAAUGAAUUUCCAAAAGCCCUUCA
rnacentral:lncRNA from 1 species